rnacentral:rRNA from 1 species
AUUGAACGCUGGCGGUAUGCUUAAGACAUGCAAGUCGAACGGUAACAGGUUAAGCUGACGAGUGGCGGACGAGUGAGUAACGCGUGGGAAUCUACCUUGUAGUGGGGGAUAAGCCAGGGAAACUUGGACUAAUACCGCAUACGCCCUAAGGGGGAAAGGCGCAAGUCGCUAUAAGAUGAGCCCGCGUCUGAUUAGGUAGUUGGUGGGGUAAAGGCCUACCAAGCCGACGAUCAGUAGCUGGUCUGAGAGGAUGAUCAGCCACGUCGGGACUGAGACACGGCCCGGACUCCUACGGGAGGCAGCAGUCGGGAAUAUUGGACAAUGGGGGAAACCCUGAUCCAGCAAUACCGCGUGUGUGAAGAAGGCCUGCGGGUUGUAAAGCACUUUCAGUUGGGAAGAUAAUGACGUUACCAACAGAAGAAGCACCGGCUAACUCCGUGCCAGCAGCCGCGGUAAGGCGUAUGUGU